GCGCCCGCCACCACGCCCGGCUAAUUUUUUUGUAUUUUUAGUAGAGACGGGGUUUCGCCGUGUUAGCCAGGAUGAUCUCGAUCUCCCGACCUCGUGAUCCGCCCGCCUCGGCCUCCCAAAGUGCUGGGAUUACAGGCUUGAGCCACCGCACCCGGCCUGCUUCUAUUCUUAACAUCUGAUUUUCAGUCUCUACCCCCCAUCACUCCCCACCUCUCUGCCCAUAUUGAGCAGCUCCUUUCUUGGGAGUGGUCCUGUGCUGGAUUGAGUUUAGCCAAGGAGACUGCUGCUGCACAGCUCAAAGAAAACCGACCUGCUCACUCCAACAGGAAAGUCCUGGGGGUCAAAGUAAAAUCUUCAAAGCUACAGCUGGCUUGUCAGAUGCUAAAAUCCCUUCUUCCUUGCUCUCUGGAAAGAUGCUUAGAAGACAAAACAGGACAUCUCUUGCCUGAGUCACUAUAUUCCUUAAAAGAUAAAUGACCGCAGUGUUUGUCUUUGCCUACACAUAAGAUAACCUCUGACAAGGUCAGUGAUGAUGCCUCUGUAAUCUAUAACCAGUUGUGCUCUUACACCGAAACGUCAAUGUGAUUCUGCUUGAAUGCAACUUCUGAGCAAGUCUCAUGUGACUUUGAACAUAUUGAACCCCCACCGCCUGUAUAUGGGCCAUGGGCUGAGAUACUGUGCCCCAGCAGUCUCAUAGAACUGCUCCUGGGCUACAGGCCUUGGUCUAUAGCCCUCAGUAAGACUUCUGAAUAAAACUAACUUUAAAUCUUUAAAAGCUUUUGUUGUUUUUUUUUUCCAUUGACAGUCAUUUCCAUCCUCAAAGGGAGUUUUAUAUCAGAAUAACUGAGUUGGACAGAAUAACAAAGGCAACUUAGCCACACUGGCUAAGAGCUGGGACUCCUGGGCAAAACUGCUUGGGUUGGAAUCUCAACUCCAUUGUUUAUGAGCUGUGUGACCUUGGGCAAAUUUGCCUCUCUGUGCCUCAGUUUUUUUU
rnacentral:lncRNA from 1 species